CUCUGGAAAUCUUUGGCCUCAUAAAUUUAGAUUUUUUUUACACUUUGCCUACUAAUAUCACUCAGAUGUUCAGAGAAAGCGUUACUUAAUUUGCUGUUGUUGUAUAUCCAGAUAGUGGCCAAAAGCGCUGCAAAAUCAAGGGGCUAAUUAAUUGUUAGCAACUUAGAUUCCAAAUUAUGAGAAAYUUAGGAGCUCAAGAGUGAGGAGGAAGCUUCAGACUACCAAAGGACUACAAUUAUUAAGCAACACUUCAAUCAAAAUCUGCCAAGUGUUGGCUCUUCCUCCAGUGCAUGAUGGAUGUUCCUUCAAUGUAACCCGCAAGGAUAAAAGUUGUGCUGCUUCUCGUUCUGACACCACAGGUCUUGUGACUGCUGGAAGCAGCCYGAGAACAACCCCGUGAGGAGGACUGCAAUGACCA